rnacentral:rRNA from 1 species
UACAGAGGAUGCAAGCGUUAUCCGGAAUGAUUGGGCGUAAAGCGUCUGUAAGUGGCUUUUAAGUCCGCCGUCAAAUCCCAGGGCUCAACUCUGGACAGGCGGUGGAAACUACCAAGCUGGAGUACGGUAGGGCAGAGGGAAUUUCCGGUGGAGCGGUGAAAUGCGUAGAGAUCGGAAAGAACACCAACGGCGAAAGCACUCUGCUGGGCCGACACUGACACUGAGAGACGAAAGCUAGGGGAGCGAAUGGG